CUCCGGUGUGGCUGGGCCCCCAGCCCUCGCGGUGUCGGGAGCCUGUGUCCCGCGCUGAGCCUCGGUAGCUCAGAGGACUUGAGAACUCGUGUUCUCCACGGCUGAGGAAGACCCAUUUCAGUUCAGACUAGUCCCAUUUCCAGAGCUGGGAAGCAGCCUGUGUGGCUGGAGCAGCGUGAGGAGUGCACAGUGGCGUAAGAUGCAGCGGAAGAGACAGGCCAGAUUUUCUCCAAGCUCUUAUCCUGGUGGACUGCCAAGAAAUUCAGUCUCUCUCANNNNNNNNNNNNNNNGAUCCCCCAAAAGUUUUAAGGGUC
rnacentral:lncRNA from 1 species